rnacentral:rRNA from 1 species
UAGUCCACGCCGUAAACGAUGGUUACUAGCUGUUCGGACUUCGGUCUGAGUGGCUAAGCGAAAGUGAUAAGUAACCCACCUGGGGAGUACGUUCGCAAGAAUGAAACUCAAAGGAAUUGACGGGGGCCCGCACAAGCGGUGGAGCAUGUGGUUUAAUUCGAUGAUACGCGAGGAACCUUACCAGGGCUUAAAUGUAGUCUGACAGCUUUAGAGAUAGAGUUUUCUUCGGACAGAUUACAAGGUGCUGCAUGGUUGUCGUCAGCUCGUGCCGUGAGGUGUCAGGUUAAGUCCUAUAACGAGCGCAACCCCUGUUGUUAGUUGCCAGCGAGUAAUGUCGGGAACUCUAGCAAGACUGCCGGUGCAAACCGCGAGGAAGGUGGGGAUGACGUCAAAUCAUCACGGCCCUUACGUCCUGGGCUACACACGUGCUACAAUGGUCUGUACAGAGAGUUGCUAACUGGUGACAGUGUGCUAAUCUCUAAAGCAGGCCUCAGUUCGGAUUGG